rnacentral:rRNA from 1 species
GACGAACGCUGGCGGCGUGCUUAACACAUGCAAGUCGAACGGUAAGGCCCUUCGGGGUACACGAGUGACGAACGGGUGAGUAACGCGUGAGUAACCUGCCCUUCACUCUGGGAUAACAGUUGGAAACGGCUGCUAAUACCGGAUAUUCAGCUCCUGUCGCAUGGUGGGGGUUGGAAAGUUUUGGUGGUGGAGGAUGGGCUCGCGUCCUAUCAGCUUGUUGGUGGGGUGAUGGCCUACCAAGGCGUCGACGGGUAGCCGGCCUGAGAGGGCGACCGGCCACAUUGGGACUGAGAUACGGCCCAAACUCCUACGGGAGGCAGCAGUGGGGAAUAUUGCACAAUGGGCGGAAGCCUGAUGCAGCAACGCCGCGUGCGGGAUGACGGCCUUCGGGUUGUAAACCGCUUUCAGCAGGGACGAAGCGCAAGUGACGGUACCUGCAGAAGAAGCACCGGCUAACUACGUG